rnacentral:rRNA from 1 species
CACGGGGGUUGCGAGCGUUGUCCGGAAUUAGUAGGCGUAAAGGGCAGGCAGGCGGAUCCAUAAGUUUAUCGUUUAAGGCGUCGGCUUAACCGGCGUAGGGCGGUAGAUACUGUGGAUCUGGAAUGCGGUUGGGGAAGACAGAAUUCCUGGUGUAGCGGUGGAACGCGCAGAGAUCAGGAGGAAUACCGAAGGCGAAGGCAGUCUUCCAAACCGUUAUUGACGCUCAACUGCGAAGGUGUGGGUAUCAAACAGGAUUAGAUACCCUGGUAGUCCCUGAGCGGG